AGCGAACGCUGGCGGCAGGCCUAACACAUGCAAGUCGAGUGGGCGUAGCAAUACGUCAGCGGCAGACGGGAGAGUAACACGUGGGAACGUGCCCUUUGGUUCGGAAUAACUCAGGGAAACUUGAGCUAAUACCGGAUAAGCCCUUCGGGGGAAAGAUUUAUUGCCAUUGGAGCGGCCCGCUUCGGAUUAGCUAGUUGGUGAGGUAAUGGCUCACCAAGGAGACGAUCCGUAGCUGGUCCGAGAGGAUGACCAGCCUCACUGGGACUGAGACACGGCGCAGACUCGUACGUGAGGCCGCAUUGGGGAAUAUUGGACAAUGGGCGAAAGCCUGAUCCAGCCAUGCCGCGUGGAUGAUGAAGGCCCCAGGGUUGUAAAGACCUUUUAACGGGGAAGAUAAAGACGGUACCCGUAGAAUAAGCCCCGGUUAACUUCGUGACAGCCGCCGCCGUAA
rnacentral:rRNA from 1 species